rnacentral:rRNA from 1 species
CCCUUAGACGUUCUGGGCCGCACGCGCGCUACACUGACGAAGGCAACGAGCUUUCCUUUACCGAAAGGUACGGGUAAUCUUUUGAAACUUCGUCGUGCUGGGGAUAGAUCCUUGCAAUUUUUGGUCUUAAACGAGGAAUGUCUAGUAAGCGCAAGUCAUCAACUUGCGUUGAUUACGUCCCUGCCCUUUGUACGCACCGCCCGUCGCUACUACCGAUUGAAUGGUUUAGUGAGGCCUUCGGAUCCGCGACUCGUUUGUGGAGAAGUUGGACAAACUCAGUCAUUUAGAGGAAGUAAAAGUCGUAACA